rnacentral:rRNA from 1 species
UGAAGCUACUAAGAGCUUACGGUGAAUGCCUUGGCGAUAAGUGCCGAUGAAGGACGUGGGACACUGCGAUAAGCCUCGAGAAGCUGUGAACAAGCGAUGAUCCGAGGAUUUCCGAAUUGGGAAACCAGCCGUUGCGAACCAACGGCAUCGUAUGCUGAAUAUAUAGGCAUACGAAGGGAACCUGGGGAACUGAAACAUCUAAGUACCCAGAGGAAAAGAAAUAAUUCCCCCAGUAGUGGCGAGCGAAAGGGGAAAAGCCCAAACCGACGAAGUUUACUUUGUCGGGGUUGUAGGGUCUGGCAUAUGAGAGUGAUAAAUUGAGAGGCUAGUAGAAUGGUACGGAAUAGCCAACCAUAGAAGGUGAAAGUCCUGUAAACAAAAGCUGAUCAACUCUCGCUGGAUACCUGAGUACUACCGGGCACGCUAAUCCGGUAGGAAGCUAGGAAGUCCACUUCCUAAGGCUAAAUACACUUAUCGACCGAUAGUGAACUAGUACCGUGAGGGAAAGGUGAAAAGUACCCCUGUUAGGGGAGUGAAAAGAACCUGAAACCGUAAGCUUACAAGCAGUCGAAGGGCUAUGAUAGGUUGGUGCUAUGGUGAAAGCCUGUGCGCACUAUUAUGCCUGACGGCGUGCCUUUUGGAGAAUGAGCCUGCGAGUUAAUUUCUGUGGCAAGGUUAAGGGAGUUACACCCGGAGCCGGAGCGAAAGCGAGUCUGAAUAGGGCGAUAGUCGCAGGGAUUAGACACGAAACCAAGUGAGCUAACCAUGGCCAGGUUGAAGCGGGUCUAAACGCCCGUGGAGGACCGAACCCACUAAUGUUGCAAAAUUAGGGGAUGAGCUGUGGUUAGAGGUGAUAUGCCAAACGAACUUGGAGAUAGCUUGUUCUCCCCGAAAUAGCUUUAGGGCUAGCGUCAAGUAUUAAAUAACGGAGGUAGAGCACUGAAUGGGCUAGGGGGCUCACUGCUUACCAAACCCAAUCAAACUCCGAAUGCCGUUAUUCUAUAGUAUGGCAGUCGGACUCCGGGAGAUGAGUUUCGGGGUCGAAAGGGAAAGAGCCCAGACCAUCGGCUAAGGUCCCCAAAUUCGAGCUAAGUGGGAAACGAUGUGAGGUUACUGAAACAACCAGGAGGUUAGCUUAGAAGCAGCUAUCCUUUAAAGAGUGCGUAAUAGCUCACUGGUCGAGUGAUCUUGCGCGGAAAAUUCAACGGGGCUAAGCUUGGUACCGAAGCCAUGGGUUCUAGAUUUAUCUAGAGCGGUAGGGGAGCGUUCUGUCAGCAGUGAAGGUUGACCGUAAGGACAGCUGGAGCGGACAGAAGUGAGAAUGCAGGCAUGAGUAGCGUAAAACACGUGAGAACCGUGUUCACCGUAUGUCUAAGGUUUCCGACGCCAGGUCGUUCCGCGUCGGGUCAGUCGGGGCCUUAGCCGAGGCCGAGAGGCGUAGGCGAUGGAUAACCGGUCAACAUUCCGGUACCACUUAAAAUGAGCGAUGGAGGGACGCAUCGAGGUAAGCCAGCCAGAGAUUGGUAGUUCUGGUGAACCAUGUGUCAGACGUUGAGACCCGUAGGAAAAUCCGCGGGUUGAGUUGAGACAUGGUUGCGAGUCUAUAAGACGUAAGUGAGCUGACCCUUAGUGCCAAGAAAAGCUUCUAAGUGUUGACGUUUAAGUGCCCGUACCGCAAUCCGACACAGGUAGACGGGUAGAAUAUACCAAGGUGAACGGGAGAACCUUCGUUAAGGAACUCGGCAAUUUAGCCUCGUAACUUCGGGAUAAGAGGUGCCCUUUGACGUGAAAGUUUACUUGAGCGUUGGAGGGUCGCAGUGAAAUGGCUCAAGGGACUGGUUAACAAAACCACAGGUCUCUGCAAAACCGUAAGGUGACGUAUAGGGGCUGACACCUGCCCAGUGCCGGAAGGUUAAAGGGAGAGGUUAGCGCAAGCGAAGCUUUGAACUGAAGCCCCGGUGAACGGCGGCCGUAACUAUAACGGUCCUAAGGUAGCGAAAUUCCUUGUCGGGUAAGUUC